rnacentral:rRNA from 1 species
AAGCCAUGCAUGUCUAAGUAUAAGCGAUAGCAAAGCGAGACUGCGAAUGGCUCAUUAAAUCAGUUAUAGUUUAUUUGAUAGUACCUUCACUACAUGGAUAACCGUAGUAAUUCUAGAGCUAAUACAUGCUAAAGGCCCCGACUUUUCGGGAGGGGUGCAUUUAUUAGAUAACGAAACCAGCGAUUUUUUUCUGGCGAUUCAUGAUAACUUUGCGGACCGCAUCGGCCUUCGAGCCAGCGGUGGUUCAUUCAAAUUUCUGCCCUAUCAACUUUCGAUGGUAGUGUAGUGGACUACCAUGGUGACAACGGGUAACGGGGAAUUAGGGUUCGGUUCCGGAGAGGGGGCCUGAGAGACGGCCGCCACUUCCAAGGAAGGCAGCAGGCGCGCAAAUUACCCAAUCUCGACACGAGGAGGUAGUGACAAUAAAUAACAAUGCAGGACCCGACAAGGGCCUUGCAAUUGGAAUGAGUACAAUUUAAACCCCUUAACGAGGAACAAUUGGAGGACAAGUCUGGUGCCAGCACCCGCGGUAAUUCCAGCUCCAAUAGCGUAUAUUACUGGUUGGUUUCACGGCUCCGGAUCGUUUACUUUGAAGAAAUUAGAGUGCUCAAAGCAGGCCUGCCGGCCAAUGAAUACAUCAGCAUGGGAUAAUGGAACAGGACGGGGCUUCCCUCUCACUCUUCCGUUGGUUCUCGAAGGGGCCCGGUAAUGAUUAAUAGAGACAGUUGGGGGCACUCAUAUUCCGCGGUCAGAGGUGAAAUUCUUGGAUUCGCGGAAGAUGAACUAGUGCGAAAGCAUCUGCCAAGGAUGUUUUCAUUGAUCAAGAACGAAAGUUAGGGGAUCGAAGACGAUCAGAUACCGUCGUAGUCUUAACCAUAAACGAUGCCGACCAGGGAUUGGGAGACGUUACGUGGAUGACACCCCCAGCACCUUCCUGAGAAAUCACAAGUCUUUGGGUUCCGGGGGGAGUAUGGUCGCAAGGCUGAAACUUAAAGGAAUUGACGGAAGGGCACCACCAGGAGUGGAGCCUGCGG